rnacentral:rRNA from 1 species
CCUACGGGAGGCAGCAGUAGGGAAUAUUGCUCAAUGGGGGAAACCCUGAAGCAGCAACGCCGCGUGGAGGAUGAAGGUUUUCGGAUUGUAAACUCCUUUUGUUAGAGAAGAUAAUGACGGUAUCUAACGAAUAAGCACCGGCCAACUCCGUGCCAGCAGACGCGGUCAUACGGAGGGUGCAAGCGUUACUCGGAAUCACUGGGCGUAAAGAGCGCGUAGGCGGGAUAGCAAGUCAGGUGUGAAAUCCUAUGGCUUAACCAUAGAACUGCAUUUGAAACUGUUAUUCUAGAGUAUGGGAGAGGUAGGUGGAAUUCUUGGUGUAGGGGUAAAAUCCGUAGAGAUCAAGAGGAAUACUCAUUGCGAAGGCGACCUGCUAGAACAUAACUGACGCUGAUGCGCGAAAGCGUGGGGAGCAAACAGGAUUAGAUACCCUUGUAGUC